rnacentral:rRNA from 1 species
GACGUAGGAGGCGAGCGUUAUCCGGAUUCACUGGGCGUAAAGCGCAUGUAGGCGGUUGCACAAGUCCGUUGUUAAAGCCCCUGGCUCAACUGGGGGAGGUCAAUGGAGACUGUGCGACUUGAGGGCAAUAGAGGCACGUGGAACUCCCGGUGUAGCGGUGGAAUGCGUAGAGAUCGGGAAGAACACCAGUGGCGAAGGCGACUUACUGGACACAUAUUGACGCUGAGGUGCGAAAGCGUGGGGAGCAAACAGG